rnacentral:rRNA from 1 species
UGGAGGUAGAGCACUGAUUGAACUAGGGGCCCUCAUCGGGUUACCGAAUUCAGUCAAACUCCGAAUGCCAACUACUUAUCCUUGGGAGUCAGACUAUGGGUGAUAAGGUUCAUAGUCGAAAGGGAAACAGCCCAGACCGCCAGCUAAGGUCCCAAAGUAUACGUUAAGUGGAAAAGGAUGUGGAGUUGCAUAGACAACCAGGAUGUUGGCUUAGAAGCAGCCACCAUUUAAAGAGUGCGUAAUAGCUCACUGGUCGAGUGACUCUGCGCCGAAAAUGUACCGGGGCUAAACGUAUCACCGAAGCUGCGGAUUGUUCUUCGGAACAAUGGUAGGAGAGCGUUCAAUGUGCAGUGAAGUCAGACCGUGAGGACUGGUGGAGCGCUUUGAAGUGAGAAUGCCGGUAUGAGUAGCGAAAAAAGAGUGAGAAUCUCUUUCACCGAAAGCCUAAGGUUUCCUGAGGAAGGCUCGUCCUCUCAGGGUUAGUCGGGACCUAAGCCGAGGCCGAAAGGCGUAGGCGAUGGACAACAGGUAGAUAUUCCUGUACCACCUCAUGAGUGUUUGAGCGAUGGGGGGACGCAGUAGGAUAAGGAAAGCGCACGGAUGGAAGCGUGCGCCCAAGCAGCAAGGGAGUCGGAUAGGAAAAUCCGUCCGAUAAUUCUAAGCUGUGACGGGGAGGGAACAUGAGUACCGAAGUUCCGGAUUUCACACUGCCAAGAAAAGCCUCUAGUGAGCUCAUAGGUGCCCGUACCGCAAACCGACACAGGUAGGCGAGGAGAGAAUCCUAAGGUGAGCGGGAGAACUCUCGUUAAGGAACUCGGCAAAAUGACCCCGUAACUUCGGGAGAAGGGGUGCUCCUUGUAGGAGGAGCCGCAGUGAAUAGGCCCAAGCGACUGUUUAGCAAAAACACAGGUCUCUGCGAAGCCGAAAGGCGAAGUAUAGGGGCUGACACCUGCCCGGUGCUGGAAGGUAAAGGGGAAGCGUUAGUACUUCGGUACGAAGCGUAGAACUGAAGCCCCAGUGAACGGCGGCCGUAACUAUAACGGUCCUAAGGUAGCGAAAUUCCUUGUCGGGUAAGUUCCGACCCGCACGAAAGGUGCAACGACUUGGGCACUGUCUCAACGAGAGACCCGGUGAAAUUAUACGAUGCGUGAAGAUGCGCAUUACCCGCGACAGGACGGAAAGACCCCGUGGAGCUUUACUGUAGCCUGAUAUUGAAUGUUUGUACAGCUUGUACAGGAUAGGUGGGAGCCAUCGAAGCGUGAGCGCCAGCUUACGUGGAGGCACCCGUGGGAUACCACCCUGGCUGUAUGAACCUUCUAACCCAGG